AUAAUAUCGCCUUGCAGAAUCGAUAUCGGACAGCAGCAAAUGAAAUUGAUAGAUUGACCGAUCGAUCAAAGAAAUCAACAAAGACAUAAUGCUCAUGUUGAAUAGAAAGCACAUCAGGGUUUCCACAGAAGUGAGAAGAUCUUGUGUUGGAUUGGUGAUCCAGGACAGGAGGUGUUUGGGAGAGGAGCGUUGUGUCUGGUUAGCAGUGAUGUCGCUGUGGUCUGGGUUACACCGGGCUGCUGUAUGUGAACCCGGGCCGGGUGCUGACGCGUG